UACAGAGGAGCCAAGCGUUGUCCGGAUUGACUGGGCGUAAAGCGCACGCAGGCGGAUGCGCGCGUGGGGUGUGAAAUCUGGCCGCUUAACGGCCAGGCGCCAUCCCAUACGGCGCGUCUGGAGUGAUGCAGAGGUCGGUGGAAUUGCCGGUGUAGUGGUGAAAUGCGUAGAGAUCGGCAGGAACACCCAGGGGGAAACCAGUCGACUGGGCAUCUACUGACGCUGAGGUGCGAGAGCGUGGGGAGCGAACCGG
rnacentral:rRNA from 1 species